AUGAAACAUUGGGAUAAGCACUCUAUAGUUUGCAUAAUAAAUAUCAUAAAUCCAGAUUAUAUAAUUAAGUCAGGACCAAUAGAAGCUACUCCAAAAGAUAUUGAAGAGUUAUUAAAGUUAAAGGCUAUAAGAGAAAGCAGAAGCCCUCAUCGGUCCGCUGCAUUCAUAGUUAGAAAUCAUGCUGAAGAAGUUAGAGGUAAAUCUAGAAUGGUAAUUAAUUUUAAAAGGCUUAAUGAUAAUACAGUUGACGAUGCAUACAACAUACCUAAUAAGCAGGAAUGGAUUAACAGAAUACAAGGAAGUAAAUAUUUCUCUAAAUUCGACUUAAAGGCAGGAUUUUGGCAAGUAAAAAUGGCUGAAGAAUCUAUUCCCUGGACAGCAUUUACUUGUCCACAAGGCCAUUAUGAAUGGCUAGUAAUGCCAUUAGGUCUAAAGAAUGCGCCUGCAUUAUUUCAAAGAAAAAUGCAAAAUAUAUUUAAUGAGAAUCAAGCAUUUAUAUUGGUAUACGUAGAUGAUUUGUUAGUAUUCUCAAAAUCAUACAAAGAGCAUAUAGCCCAUCUUGAAGUGUUCUUUAGAAAGGUAGAACAAAAUGGGCUCAUACUAUCUAAAAAGAAGAUGGAAAUUUGCAAAGAGAAAAUAAAUGUCCUUGGUCAUGAAAUAGGAGAAGGAAAGAUAUAUCUACAAGAUCUGCAAAGAAAAUAUUAG
rnacentral:rRNA from 1 species